CCCUACGGGAGGCAGCAGUGAGGAAUAUUGGUCAAUGGGCGAGAGCCUGAACCAGCCAAGUCGCGUGAGGGAAGACGGUCCUAUGGAUUGUAAACCUCUUUUGCCGGGGAGCAAAAAGCGGUACGUGUACCGCAUCGAGAGUACCCGGAGAAAAAGCAUCGGCUAACUCCGUGCCAGCAGCCGCGGUAAUACGGAGGAUGCGAGUGUUAUCCGGAUUUAUUGGGUUUAAAGGGUGCGCAGGCGGCGAGUUAAGUCAGCGGUAAAAUUUCGGGGCUCAACCCCGACGAUCCGUUCAAACUGGCUUG
rnacentral:rRNA from 1 species